rnacentral:snRNA from 1 species
GUAUUUUGCGCACAUAUACCAAAAUCGGUACGAUACAGAGAGGAUUAACAUGGCCCUGUGCAAGGAUGACACGCAAAACCGUGAAGCAUUCCAUAUAAAA